rnacentral:lncRNA from 1 species
AAGUGAACCACAAUAAAGCAAAGCCGACGGAGACAAGAGGGCAAGGAAUUGAGCCUGCUGGAAAAACUUGUUCAAUUUCAUCCACUGAUCCAGUGGGCAGAGUCCGGGGCACUUUUGGUAAAGAGGAAUAUAUCACAACAGACUUAUCCAUUUUUAUGAUUUACCGCCUCCAAAUCAUUCUCCACACUGCUGCUAGAGAGAUCUUUGUAAAAUGCAGAUUUGAUCAGAACACUUCCCUGUUUAAAAUGUGCUAGUGUCUUCUCUUUGCCAUCAGGAAGGAAAAAAAUCCGAAGUUGUUUGCAUGGUAUAAAAACUCCUUGUGAUCUGCAUAUAAAUUCCUUGUGAUCUGGUCUUU